rnacentral:lncRNA from 1 species
UUCAGUUAUUUGAGUUAUGGUUUAGUUAGCCACUUAUAGUUUGUACUUUGUCAUCAAGCUACACAACUCAACUGGAAUGAAAAGAUGGAGGCAAAUUCUUCAAACAAGGAAACGAAUGAUGUCAAUGCAUCUGAAGGAUCUUGGAGUGGAAGCUCUCAAACUGCUGCUGCUGGCUUCUGCUUCAUGUGUUGCCGGCCUGUGACUGGCAAUUGUCAACCAACAUUAGACAUGCUUUCAACGGUAGUGUCUCAGGUUUCUGUUCGAGAGAAGGUUGAGCAUGAAACUGGAUGGCAUCUCUCAUCAGUGAAC